UGCAGGUAGGGUAGACAGCCCUGGUGAGUGCAGGUAGGGUAGACAGCCCUGAUGAGUGCAGGUAGGGUAGACAGCCCUGAUGAGUGCAGGUAGGGUAGA